AAAGACCGUGGAGACAAGACGCGGCGUGCACCCACCACCAAAGAAUUGAAGAUUGAGGACCAACGGGACGCCGCUGGACCCAUGCUGGUGAAGACUCUGGAGCCUGCCUGAAGGAACACAUGAACCUGCUGACUGUCUGCAUGGUUUUGUCGGUGAUUGCUUUGUUAAUAUUUAUAGGAUGUUUGGCAUACCACCGCAGACGUUGUUUUGGUUGACCAUUGUCGCCACCUUUAAUAUUUGGGGAAACUCCUGUGCCCCCCUCAUCGGCUCGUUGUGGCAAAAUGAAUUUAUUGUUUUAGGCCAGCAAGUGGCCAACACUUUUAACCUGACUAAUUGUUGGGUAUGUGGUGGACCCUUGGGUUUGGAAAGCUGGCCAUGGACUGCUGUCCCUAUUUCCCCGAAAUGGUUAGUGAGUAAUUACAGUGAGGUAAAAAAUGAUUCUUACUGGGGUGAAGACACGCAGCCCUGGGCAAUAAGAUACCCAGCCCAAGGUGAAUAUUGCCUGAACCAAACACAGAAAGAUGGUGUCCCUGUGGGAAACAUCAAAUGUAACUGGACCUAUACUUAUGGCAACCAUUGCCUCACUGACG